rnacentral:rRNA from 1 species
GAAAGGCCUGCAGCUUGCUGCGGGUACUCGAGUGGCGAACGGGUGAGUAACACGUGGGUGAUCUGCCUUGCACUUCGGGAUAAGCUUGGGAAACUGGGUCUAAUACCGGAUAGGACAGCUGUUUAGUGUCAGUUGUGGAAAGUUUUUUCGGUGCAAGAUGAGCUCGCGGCCUAUCAGCUUGUUGGUGGGGUAAUGGCCUACCAAGGCGUCGACGGGUAGCCGGCCUGAGAGGGUGUACGGCCGCAUUGGGACUGAGAUACAGCCCAGACUCCUACGGGAGGCAGCAGUGGGGAAUAUUGCACAAUGGGCGGAAGCCUGAUGCAGCGACGCCGCGUGGGGGAUGAAGGCCUUCGGGUUGUAAACUCCUUUCGACAGGGACGAAGCGUAAGUGACGGUACCUGUAUAAGAAGCACCGGCUAACUACGUGCCAGCAGCCGCGGUAAUACGUAGGGUGCGAGCGUUGUCCGGAAUUACUGGGCGUAAAGAGCUCGUAGGUGGUUUGUCGCGUCGUCUGUGAAAUUCCGGGGCUUAACUCCGGGCGUGCAGGCGAUACGGGCUGACUUGAGUGCUGUAGGGGAGACUGGAAUUCCUGGUGUAGCGGUGAAAUGCGCAGAUAUCAGGAGGAACACCGAUGGCGAAGGCAGGUCUCUGGGCAGUAACUGACGCUGAGGAGCGAAAGCAUGGGUAGCGAACAGGAUUAGAUACCCUGGUAGUCCAUGCCGUAAACGGUGGGCGCUAGGUGUAGGGGGCUUCCACGUCUUCUGUGCCGUAGCUAACGCAUUAAGCGCCCCGCCUGGGGAGUACGCCGCAAGGCUA